GAUGAACGCUGGCGGCGUGCCUAAUACAUGCAAGUCGAGCGGACGGGCGAUAAGCUUGUUUUUCUGAUGUUAGCCGCACGCGGGUGAGUAACACGUGUAUACUCCCCUUAUCAGACUGAGAUCACUUCGGGACACCGGAUCUAAUACCGGAGAAUAUUUUGAACCGCAUGGUUCGAUGGUGAAAGACGGCCUUGCUGGCACUUCUAGCUGGAUCCGCGCUGCAUUAGCUAGUUGGUAGGGUCACGGCUUACCACGGCAACGAUGCGUAGCCGAACUGAGAGAGUGAUAGGCGGCACUGGAACUGAAACGCGGUCCUGACGCCUACGGGAGGCAGCAGUAGGGAACGUUCCGCAAUGGGCGAGAGCCUUGCGCAGCGACGGCGAGCGAGUGACGACGGUCUUGGGAUCGGAAAACCCGGUUAUUAGGGAUAAACAGAUUUGGCCGGAGAUGAGGACAGCUUGACGGUAAUUAGUCAGAAAGCAACGGCUAACUACGUG
rnacentral:rRNA from 1 species